GUUCAGAUGGCUUGUGACCGCGUUUGUGCUCAUCGGACUGAGAGUCGAGCCCGGGCCUGACAACUGGUGGUGCAUGGGAGUGAGCCACAGAGCCAGCCAGUCUGCUCCCAUCAGCCUGAUACAGGCCCGCACCAAAAAAUCACCCAGAAUAUUUACAGAGGAAUUCCCACCGAGAGGCACCGAGCAGCCGGCGGACUCUUUACUGGCACACCGGACCUGCAGUGUGCAAACACCCAGAGAUGAGGAUGAAUGAAUGGAGGAAAAAAAAAAAAAAAAAGGUUGAUACAGGCCGGGGCUGCAGUUGACGACAAGGCACUUAUUGGUGUCAGCAAGAGGAAGAUGUGAAAGAAGAUGAAAGACAGCUCUUUAUAUGAAGAUUUCGAUCAGAGGAAGCGGCUGUAUGGAUCAUAACCCUGGAUUUCUAUCAACAACCGAGCAGAGAUCUCAUCUCAGCUGAGAAAAAAGUUUUGCUGCGAGUUUGCCUGUUUGGAGGAAUGGAGCUGCAACACCUUCAGCCCGGCAGGUUUGAUGGAUACGUUGCCGCUGCUGCCGCCGCUGCUGCUGCUGCUGUUGCUGCUGCUGCUGCUUUGCAAAAAAGGAGUUCGCCGACAAACAAACGGAUGCAAUUAAACACACUCGCCUUCAGAUCAUCAAUGAGGAGGCAAAGUCAAGACUGGUGGAAAAACCGACAAGGACAAAUAUAAGGCGGGAGGAAGUGUGCGUGUGUCCUGCUGCCUCAAGGUUAACACUGACUGAAUGACUGGAUGCUUUCUACUUCUUCCACAAAGACACGUCGCUAGAUGCUUUUUUUUUUCACAACUUGAUAUAACUCUCAAUUCAUGUUAUAUUUUGGUAUAUGUGCUGAAGAAUUUAACAAAGUUUAUUUAUGAUCGUAUUUAUGUUUCAUCUCUGUCUCCGCACUGUCUUGAAAGUAAUUAAAAAUGAAUUUGCAAACACAGACGUCUAUGCUGAUAUCACUGUCAAACCUCCACCCUGCUCUC